UAUUGGCUUAUUUUUUUUUAUAGUUUACUGUUUAAACAUGGCACCUUCCUCUCUCCCUCAUGCAUCUCAGCGGCAAAUGCAGUGUUACUUUUACUUUGAUCAAAGAAAUCCAGUUCUCUUCUCUGAAUUGACAUUUAAAUAUCUUAAGUGUAAGCUCAUAACAUCUCAUGAUCUCUGUCUUUGUCUCUUAAACAGGUACUAUUGUUGAUGAGAAAUCUCUCGAGCAAUUUGGCUAGUCGUGAUUUUGAGGAUCAUAGAAGGCUGCUUUCAUCAUAUGAGACUGACCUCGAGAAGGAUGAUGCUUUUGAUGUAAUUGAUUCUAUCCUUUGUAGCCAUUCUGAAGGUGCAGGCUAACUUUGUGUAUUAUUGUAGCCAAAAGAAUAUGAUAUGAUUGUAUUUGUACAAUAAGUGUCUUUUUUACACUUAUUUAUAUAAUAAUUUUAGAGCA